GGGCAUGUAGCGCAGUUGGUAGCGCGCUUGCUUAGCAACAAGUUGGGAGUCAGACCCCUAGCUUACGUAAAUAGAGGUCUUGAGUUCAAUUCCCAACCUGUCUA
rnacentral:tRNA from 1 species